UACGUAGGGUGCAGGCGUUAAUCGGAAUUACUGGGCGUAAAGCGUGCGCAGGCGGUUUGCUAAGAGAGAUGUGAAAUCCCCGGGCUUAACCUGGGAACUGCGUUUCUAACUGGCAGGCUUGAGUGUGGCAGAGGGGGGUGGAAUUCCACGUGUAGCAGUGAAAUGCGUAGAGAUGUGGAGGAACACCGAUGGCGAAGGCAGCCCCCUGGGCUAACACUGACGCUCAUGCACGAAAGCGUGGGGAGCAAACGGG
rnacentral:rRNA from 1 species